CCUACGGGAGGCAGCAGUGAGGAAUAUUGGUCAAUGGGAGAGAUCCUGAACCAGCCAAGCCGCGUGAGGGAAGACGGCCCUAUGGGUUGUAAACCUCUUUUGUCGGAGAACAAAACCCGGGACGAGUCCCGGACUGCGUGUAUCCGAAGAAAAAGCAUCGGCUAACGCCGUGCCAGCAGCCGCGGUAAUAGGGAGGAUGCGAUCGUUAUCCGGAUUGAUUGGGUUAAAGGGGUGCGUAGGCGGUCUGUUAAGUCGGCGGUAAAAUUGCGGGGCUAAACCCCGUCGAGCCGUUGAAACUGGCAGACUUGAGUUAGCGAGAAGUACGCGGAAUGCGCGGUGUAGCGGUGAAAUGCAUAGAUAUCGCGCAGAACUCCGAUUGCGAAGGCAGCGUACCGGAGACAGACUGACGCUGAGGCACGAAAGCGUGGGGAUCGAACAGGAUUAGAUACCCGAGUAGUC
rnacentral:rRNA from 1 species